rnacentral:rRNA from 1 species
UACGUAGGGUGCGAGCGUUAAUCGGAAUUACUGGGCGUAAAGCGUGUGCAGGCGGUUUGUUAAGACAGGUGUGAAAUCCCCGGGCUUAACCUGGGAAUUGCGCUUGUUACUGGCAAGCUAGAGUGCGUCAGAGGGAGGUGGAAUUCCACGUGUAGCAGUGAAAUGCGUAGAGAUGUGGAGGAACACCGAUGGCGAAGGCAGCCUCCUGGGAUGACACUGACGCUCAUACACGAAAGCGUGGGGAGCGAACAGG